GAAGCUAUAGCUCAGUGGUAAAGCGCUCACCUCACAUGUGUGAGGCACUGAGUUCAAACCUCAGCACCACA
rnacentral:tRNA from 1 species